rnacentral:rRNA from 1 species
UACGUAGGGUGCAAGCGUGUUCCGGAAUUAUUGGGCGUAAAGAGCUCGUAGGCGGUUUGUCGCGUCUGCCGUGAAAUUUCGAGGCUCAACCUCGAACUUGCGGUGGGUACGGGCAGACUAGAGUGUGGUAGGGGAGACUGGAAUUCCUGGUGUAGCGGUGGAAUGCGCAGAUAUCAGGAGGAACACCAAUAGCGAAGGCAGCUCGCUGGGACGGUACUGACGCUAAGGCGCGAAAGCGUGGGGAGCGAACAGG